rnacentral:snoRNA from 10 species
AAGACGACGCUUGCAGGGAUUGUUUCUAUAGCUCACUACCAGAUAAGUUUCUCCGAACAUGUAGAGCACCAGAAACCACAUGCAGCGGUGCAGCGCUCUCUCGGGAGCCUGACACUGGCUCUGGGUGCUGCUUCACUGCAACUUCCAUUUGCCAUUGAGAACUGUUCCGCUCUUCCUCUGGGAAAGUAAGAGAGAGAGGGUGCAAUCUGAGGGG